UUUCCGUAGGUGAACCUGCGGAAGGAUCAUUACUGCGUUUUGAACGAAGACGUUCUGGCCUUUCUGGGCAUCUGACCGCUUCUCUCAAUCUACCUUCCAUUUGCGCACCUAUCGGGGAAGACUAGGCUCCAAGCUGUGCCACAACGCCGAUCUACAGUGUGCUCUUUAUACUUACUAACAGUUUUAGAAAGUAUUUUUUUCUUGAUGCUAACUUAAACAAAUCCAUCUUUCAGCAUCGGAUCACUUGGCUCUCGCAUCGACGACGAACGCAGCAGACAG
rnacentral:misc_RNA from 1 species